UAACUGUCUCGACGUCCCGUUAGGAAAAAAGGCUUAUCCCGUUUCCCAAUAUGCAAUUUUAGCCGAAUCGUGACGCAAAACACGGCUUGUCUCGAAUCCCGCUAAAAUAAGGGUGUCUAUCCCGAAUCCCGACAGUUAUUUUCGGCCCAUCCCAGUGUCCCGAAAAUACCCGUUCUCCCCCUCAUAAAUAGUAGACCAUAUUGUCACAUUGAUGUUUUCUUUCAUUACAGUUAGACUUCGAGAUCUACAUUUUCGACAAAGGCCUGGUGUAUAAAUAUUACGUACUUGAUGAAGGUUUAAUGACACGAAUGAGUACAAGUACAUUACAUAUUUUCGACGAAGGCCUUCUGUAAUUUCACACGCUUCUUACGCAACAUUCAAUAGAUUUAUUUACUGUAUUAUCAUUUCGACCAAGGCGAAU